rnacentral:lncRNA from 1 species
AACAUAGUUAUUGACGAUGAAUUGAUCACAUGAGUUUCCUUCCCAAGUGAGUCACUUAAAUAAUUCUUUUUUGUUACUUUCUUAUUAUGUCAUCAUCGAUUAAUAUUGUUAAUUUCAAUAGUGACAUAAAAAUACAAUAUUAUAACACAAACUCUUGCUCUUUUUCUAAUCAUAGAAUUCUACCAAGGGCUUCAAGUGUGAUUUGUGACUUGCACCGAAAUGGCAGCAAUGACAUCUUAGGUAUAAAUUUCCUUUUUGAUAGGUUUUAAGAUUAUUCCUUUUUAUUACAUGCAUAGACCAAAUGGUCAUUCUACUUUCCAAAUUUUUUUAUUAAUAUUGCAAAAGGUAAUGUUGCAUUGCCAUUUUAAAGGUAAAAUGAACACUAUGGCCUCUAGAAAAAGUUAUAGACGUGGUUCAUAAAGUGAUUGAUAAAACUGUUUAAUUUCAAUGUUACAGUAGGUGUGUGUUGCUGUGCUAGUGAAUGGGACAUCAUCUUCGUUGCAAAUUCAUGCUGUCUCAGUUCUUUCUGCAAGGGACUUGUGUUGAAGCCAAGAGGUACCAUGCUGUCUCAAUUUCAGCCUUUUAUUUUUUCAGAUUUUUAAAAUAUAUGGAAAAUAUUUAUAAUAUUUGAAUUCCUUCAUAGGAAUAAUUUAGGAUUAAUUAGAUUAUAUUACAUGUGUUUGUCCAACUGUAAGCAUCUUUCCCAACAAUUGUAUUAUCCAGAACUUAAACUUUGAUCCUCUCCUAGGCUGUGGAAUUUACCAUUACAUCCGACCUUUGUUGGCUGUGAUCCUCUUUCUAUACCUUUAUAUUUUUAAUGUGUGUGCAUUCAUAAAUAGAUGUCAUUAUUUUAUUUUUUUCCAUACACUACCUUCAAGUUGAUAGGCAAUAUUUGAAGAUAUAUUCUUUCUUUUUUUUUUUUUUUUUUCCAGCUGGUAUUGUGAUGCCUAAGGAAGAAGUUAUUUUAUUUGAUCCUAUAUAAUGUUGAGACUAUAUGUUUAUCAGUUCAUCUACCAGAUUGGGUGGUUUAAUCUUCGUUUUGGAAUUAUUUUUUCCUGUUUGAAGAUCUACCAUGGGAUUCAAGUUUGAUUGAUGGGCUUGCACCAAGAUGGCGCAGUGAUAUCUCAGGUAUAAAUUUCGUCUUUGAUAGGUUUGGAGUUUGAAUAUAACUCCUUUUACUUCAUUCAUGGUCCAAUGCUCGUCCUGUUUUCCAAUGCUUUUUUUUAAAUGUGGCAAAAGUUAAUGCCCCAUUGCCAUUUUAAAGCCAAACUGAAGACUAUGUUCAUGAAGUGAUUGAUAAAACUGUUUGUUGUAUACCUUAGGCCAUAACAUUGUUCAAUUUCAAUCUCACAGUGUUAGUCCUUUCUGCAAGGAACUUGUUUUGAC